UCGACUGCCGCGGCCCUGCCGGGCGGCGGCCAAAAAAGUCCGCUCGGCUCCGUGCAGUGUCACUCUUUUACUUUGGCAGCUAGGGGGAAAGUAAUUUGGUAUGUCGUGAAAUGUGAAGACCAAAGACCACCGCUAGUAAAACACGUGCAGAAUGUGGACCACUUCAGUCUCUGGGGUGGAGCCCGGGCACAGACAGGAGAGCGGCGGGGCGUUAGGGAAGCGUGAACGCAGGUACGGGAUGGAAAGGGCAGGCGCCCUGGAGAGACUGGGGCGUUUCAGAUCACCCCCCGGCAAGUGGCAGCGCCCUGCACGAGUGGUGGGGUUGGUUUGGCUCAGGAUAUGAGAGUCUUAGGGUCUGCGCUGUGCUGAUGAAUUUCCUCCGCUUGUGUCAGGCUAUCCGCCGAUGGAUGGAUUCUCUUCAGCUGUUGAGGAAGACCAACUGCUUGGACAGGCUGAAACCGAGAGAGUCUUUUCGUUUUUUCUCUCCCGUUUUCUGCCUGCGCUCUCACCAUGUUAAAACACUCCAUCUCCGGUUCCAUUCGGGUAGAUGAUUUCAGUAGCGUAUUGUCAUGUGCCGAUCAUGAUUAUUAGGUGCAUUCAGUUUGGAAAGGACAGCUUUUAAUCCAGUGCUUUUAUGUAAAGUCAUAGAGCCUCGGCUGAAGCUGCUGUGAGGUCCUAUUUGUUACUGUGAUUUUAUUGUAUUUAAAAAAAUUAGCAGUAUACUUCUGUGCUUUGUUGUUUUUUUAUGCUUCCUGGAAUUGGGGGUCCCAUGAGGGAGACUUGAGGUCAGAGUUCUGCAAAAGAGAAGUUGCUGCUUGGCGGCAGCUGCUGAAGUAAGAGCCCAAACCCCAGUCAGGGGUGUGGAUGCCACUGCUUUGGAUGAGACUGAGAGGCCCAGGGACUGCUGGGCCUGGAGAGCCGGUGGCUCUGCAGCCCGUCGGAUCAGAGAACUCUGUUCUUUUGGUUUUGUUUCUUUUUCUCAGAAAUGUAAUUUCUUUGUGGCAUGUUAACUGGUGCACACCAUGUGACCUGUCUGUUGAGUUCCUAUAGCUCCUGGCCAACAUCAGGACACUGGUGUGUGAAAAUAAGAAGACAGAAGUCUGUAUUCCCAGAAUCUGUUUGGAAUUAGGCACUGAACAUACCUUACCUAAUCUUCACAAAUUUCAGAGGUUGUUUUAUUAUCCUCCUUAAUCCUGUGAGGAAAGUUCUCAGGACCCUGCCCAGCAAUAUUGAACAGACUGACGCCAAAGCUCCGUCCACAACGUCAGCCAGCAUGUGGAGUGCUGUCUGCCUCUGAGUCCCCCGCAGACACUGACCAGCAGAUUUCAUAGAAUGGACUCAUUUAUUUGUUCAUUUCUUUGUUCAACAGAUACUUUGCUGGUGAUAUACUAGGUCCUUGGAACACCAAAGAGCAGUAGGUCCCUGGUGACAGUCAUUGACCCAUUCAUUCAUGCAUUUGAGUACAUACUGAAGAUCUAGUAUGUGCUGGACCCUGGACUAGAUAAAGCCACAACUCCUCCACAACGGCCACCUCCAGUGGUCUUGCCACCCUGGUGGGUGAGGUGGCCAACUUAACAGACCCCAACACUGGGUGAGAAGUGCUGAGACUGAGAAAGUUCAGGGCCUGGGGGACGUGAAGGUGGUGUUUAACCCAUCCAGGGAAUGGGGUGAGGCUUCCCAGAGGAAUCACAGACCAUGUGCUACAUAAUUGAAAUUAUAUGGGGCAGGGAAGAGGAUAGAAGGUCCCAUUCUCUGGUAUUACAGAACUGCUGAGGCCCCUGCAUCUGGGUGUUUCCUCAUCCACACAAAGGCAUUUUGGAUCUUGGGCGUGAUGAUGGUAAACGUGACGGCCAAGAGCGUGAAAUUUGCACCUUGGAUCCAAGGGCAAUAUCCGCUCCCUGAGCCCAGAGCUCAGGAAAGAAGAGUCCCUGACUGCUGGAGGUGCCGCAGACAGCAGCGAGAGCACAGGAGACAUGGGCUGGGUUCAGGAGGGCUGGCUCCACUCCUGGCUCACUCUGCAGCCUUGGGCAAGUGGCUGCCUCCUGAGCCACCAUAAAUGCUGGUUUUGCACUG